AAACCAACCGGGAUUGCCUCAGUAACGGCGAGUGAAGCGGCAAGAGCUCAAAUUUGAAAGCUGGCUCCUUCGGAGUCCGCAUUGUAAUUUGCAGAGGAUGCUUUGGGUGCGGCCCCCGUCUAAGUGCCCUGGAACGGGCCGUCAGAGAGGGUGAGAAUCCCCCGUCUUGGGCGGGGUGUCCGUGCCCGUGUAAAGCUCCUUCGACGAGUCGAGUUGUUUGGGAAUGCAGCUCUAAAUGGGGUGGUAAAUUUUCAUCCUAAAGCUAAAUACUGGCCGGAGAACCCGAAUAGCGCACAAGUAGAGUGAUCGAAAGAUGAAAAGCACUUUUUUUGAAAAGAGAGUUUAAACAGCACGUGAAAUUUGUUGAAAGGGAAGCGCUUGCGACCCCAGACCUCCGCCCCCGCCGGGG
rnacentral:rRNA from 1 species